ACGGAAGGCAGCAGUGAGGAAUAUUGGUCAAUGGACGGAAGUCUGAACCAGCCAAGUAGCGUGAGGGAUGACGGCCCUAUGGGUUGUAAACCUCUUUUGCGGGGGAAUAAAGUGCGCCAUGCGUGGUGUUUUGCAUGUACCCUGCGAAUAAGGAUCGGCUAACUCCGUGCCAGCAGCCGCGGUAAUACGGAGGAUCCGAGCGUUAUCCGGAUUUAUUGGGUUUAAAGGGAGCGUAGGCGGGAUGUCAAGUCAGCUGUGAAAUGUAGUCGCUCAACGUCUGCACUGCAGUUGAAACUGGUGUUCUUGAGUGCGUAAGAGGCAGGUGGAAUUCGUCGUGUAGCGGUGAAAUGCAUAGAUAUGACGAAGAACUCCGAUUGCGAAGGCAGCCUGCUGGGCCGCUACUGACGCUGAAGCUCGAAGGUGCGGGUAUCAAACAGGAUUAGAUACCCUGGUA
rnacentral:rRNA from 1 species